AAUGAGCGUUGGCGGCGUGGAUUAGGCAUGCAAGUCGAGCGAGAAGUGUAGCAAUACACGGAAAGCGGCGAAAGGGAUAGUAACACGUAGGUACCUACCCCCGGGCCUGGGAUAGCGGCGGGAAACUGCCAUUAAUACCAGAUAACGUCUCCGGACCAAAGGUGUGAUUCCGUCUGGGGAGGGGCCUGCGUCCUAUCAGCUAGUUGGUGAGGUAAUGGCCCACCAAGGCAUUGACGGGUAGCGGGUGUGAGAGCACGACCCGCAUCACUGGGACUGAGACACUGCCCAGACACCUACGGGUGGCUGCAGUCGAGAAUCUUCCGCCAUGGGCGCAAGCCUGACGGAGCGACGCCGCGUGCGGGAUGAAGGCCUUCGGGUUGUAAACCGCUGUCAGUGGGGAGGAAAUGCAUGGGGGUUCUCCCCCAUGUUUGACCGAUCCGCAGAGGAAGCACAGGCUAAGUUCGUGCCAGCAGCCGCGGUAAUAC
rnacentral:rRNA from 1 species